AACGUAUUUAUAUAAAAAGUUUACCAAGAAAAAAUAACAAUUAUCAAAGAUAAUGGCCCCCUUUACUGUCUGUAAUAAAUAAAUAAAUUCACGAAAUAAUUUAAAUUGAUGUUGCUAUUUUAUUCUAUAUGUACAUCACGAAAACUUUCUCAUGUAAAUUGAUUAAUUUAACGAAAAGAUUUUUUUAUGUUUUCCUAUUUGGGGUAAAUGCUUAUAAGAAAAUAUUUUAUAUUAUAAACAGUGACAAGAAACGACUUUGAAGCGACAGGAUAAAAAGCCCGUUAAUUCUUAAAAACUCGGCAGACUGCAGAUGGAUGUUGUAGAGAAAAAUAAGCAUAUUCGCUCUAUUAAAUAUCGUCGGUGGUAUUGCCCUACUUGUGAUAUUUUCACAAAUUCAUCAAAUCAAUUCAAUCAACACGUCGAGGGCAUUGGACACCAGUACAAAAUGAUUAAAAUUAACAAUAAAGCUACAAUACAACAAGAAGAUUAUAAAUUCGAUCCUCUAUUUUAUAUUGUAGUAUUCAUACAAAUUGUGUUCAUAUGUUUUGUAUUCUUUUAUGGUUUAAUAAAAAUGUUUAAUUAAUA